rnacentral:rRNA from 1 species
CCUACGGGUGGCAGCAGUGAGGAAUAUUGGUCAAUGGACGAAAGUCUGAACCAGCCAAGUAGCGUGAAGGAUGACUGCCCUCUUGGUUGUAAGCUUCUUUUGUAUGGGAAUAAAAUAUUCCACGUGUGGGAUUUUGUAUGUACCAUUUGAAUAAGGAUCGGCUAACUCCGUGCCAGCAGCCGCGGUAAUACGGAGUCACCGAGCGUUAUCCGGAUUUAUUGGGUUUAAAGGGAGCGUAGGUGGAUUGGUAAGUCAGUUGUGAAAGUUUGCGGCUCAACCGUAAAAUUGCAGUUGAAACUGGCAGUCUGGAGUACAGUAGAGGUGGGCGGAAUUCGUGGUGUAGCGGUGAAAUGCUUAGAUAUCACGAAGAACUCCGAUUGCGAAGGCAGCUCACUGGACUGCAACUGACACUGAGGCUCGAAAGUGUGGGUAUCAAACAGGAUUAGAUACCCCUGUAGUC